CAAUAGCGUAUAUUAAAGCUGUUGCGGUUAAAAAGCUCGUAGUUGGAUUUCUGUCAAGGACAACUGGUCCGCCCUCCGGGUGAGCACAUAGUUUGGUCUUGGCAUCUUGUUCAAAACUGUUACUGCGCUUGGUUGUGUGGUGCAGUUUUGGGCACUUUCACUUUGAGGAAAUUGGAGUGUUUCAAGCAGGCACAUGCCUUUGGACACAGUAGCAUGGAAUAAUUAGAUUGGGCUUUUGCUCCAACUUGUCGGUUCCUGGAGCUGAGGUGAGAAUCAAUGGGGAUUGUUGGGGGCAUCUGAAUUUAGCCGUCAGAGGUGAAAUUCUUGGAUCUGCUAAAGACGGACAACUGCGAAAGCGUUUGCUCAGGAUGUUUUCAUUGA
rnacentral:rRNA from 1 species